rnacentral:pre_miRNA from 1 species
AAAAAGACAAACUCUGGUUUCCGUGCCCAACAUUUGACCGUCUGUUUUAUUUAAAAAAAUUAUAAAAAAAAUUAAAAAGACAAGUCACGUAUAAAAUAUUAAUUAUAUUUUAUCAUCUAACAAUAAUAAAAAUACGAAUUAUAAAAAAAAUUAUAUAAGACGGACAGUCAAAGUUGGACACGGAAACUUAGGGUUUGACUUUUU